UAACUUCGGGAAACCGGAGCUAAUACCGGAUAAUAUUUCGAACCGCAUGGUUCGAUAGUGAAAGAUGGCUUUGCUAUCACUUAUAGAUGGACCUGCGCCGUAUUAGCUAGUUGGUAAGGUAACGGCUUACCAAGGCAACGAUACGUAGCCGACCUGAGAGGGUGAUCGGCCACACUGGAACUGAGACACGGUCCAGACUAAUACGGGAGGCAGCAGUAGGGAAUCUUCCGCAAUGGGCGAAAGCCUGACGGAGCAACGCCGCGUGAGUGAUGAAGGUCUUCGGAUCGUAAAACUCUGUUAUUAGGGAAGAACAAACGUGUAAGUAACUGUGCACGUCUUGACGGUACCUAAUCAGAAAGCCACGGCUAACUACGUGCCAGCAGCCGCGGUAAUACGUAGGUGGCAAGCGUUAUCCGGAAUUAUUGGGCGUAAAGCGCGCGUAGGCGGUUUUUUAAGUCUGAUGUGAAAGCCCACGGCUCAACCGUGGAGGGUCAUUGGAAACUGGAAAACUUGAGUGCAGAAGAGGAAAGUGGAAUUCCAUGUGUAGCGGUGAAAUGCGCAGAGAUAUGGAGGAACACCAGUGGCGAAGGCGACUUUCUGGUCUGUAACUGACGCUGAUGUGCGAAAGCGUGGGGAUCAAACAGGAUUAGAUACCCUGGUAGUCCACGCCGUAAACGAUGAGUGCUAAGUGUUAGGGGGUUUCCGCCCCUUAGUGCUGCAGCUAACGCAUUAAGCACUCCGCCUGGGGGAGUACGACCGC
rnacentral:rRNA from 1 species